rnacentral:misc_RNA from 1 species
UUGGGAAUCCUUAUGUGGGUGGUAUUAAUUUAUGUGGAUGACUCGUGAAUAAGCCUUCAUGCCUGUCUCCAAGGCAUGUAGACCGCCCUAUGAAAUGGGACCCUCUCACUUUUUCCUUCGGGCAAUGUCGCAAGAUAUUUCUCAUUUUGUGGGGUGGUGGAAUGCAGGUCUCAAUAUAUCAUUAUAAAUGUGGCUCCUAGAAAUUGGGUGUUGGUGUUAUGCCAUGCCACCAUGCUCGAGUUGAAUUAUCCAAGUGAUAGUGCCCUUAACCUCUGUGCGACUUUGGUUCUUUACCCUCUUUCCAUAUGAAAUAUAUGGUUGUGGCGGG